AUACAUUGCGCACAGUAUUAACGGUAUUGUCUCCCCCUAAAUAUAGAGGGCGCACGAUUCGUUGCGGUCCUACUUUUUACAAACAUGGCGGCGUCUAACGAUAAGAACUACGGUGCUUGGGGUAUCCCUAUGCUCAAGCAAGCUUUGAGAGAAAAAGGGGCCAGAGUUUCGGGGAGGAAACGGGAGCUGGUAGAAAGGUGGAGAAGGUGCUCUGCUGUGCUAUGGGUGGCUUGGGCUUCAUGACAGGACACUCUGUUCCAUCGAUGAUCACCCUCGUGGUUGGAAACUGCUUGUUGAAGUCUGUUGGGGAAAAAAACUGGACAAGAUCUCUCUCUGGCCACAGAUCAACUUCUCUCCACUGACGAGACAUGAAAUUCACCCAUGUUACCCAGAUAUUGGUCACUGAAAACUCAGAAAUACCAAACAGCCUACUCAACUCAAAAUUUGUCUUGUGCUGACGAAGCUUCAUCAAAGUUAAAAAAAACUGAUCUGGAACACUGACAUUGUCUACCUGAGAAUACAAAUAAUUCAGCUGGUAAGCAGCUUCACCUAGUGUCUGCAAAACAAAUAAAAAGUCCUGAUAUGAUGACAGACCUGUGUAAAACAUAAUACCAGCAUUGUCAUUGGCAAAGUUGUCAACACUGAAAAUCGGUCUUGGUGGUGUCUGUGUCGAGGAAUCCACAGGAAAUGACGAUGAAACAAAAUCCAUGCUCUGAGAAGAGGAGAGUGGAACAUCAUGUUGAUCAGCCUCUAUGGUUACCUCACUCUGGACUUCGUCACACGUCAAUACGGAAUCUUCACACACAAGGGAAGAUGCAAGAUCAUCACCCCUCUCAUUAGGUGUCCCCGUGCUGACAUACUCUCUUCCAGACCUCAGUGUGCCGCACUCAGAAUCGCCCGCCUGGAUUCGUCUCCAUGGAAAAAUGCUUGGGACAGCAUUGUCUCUCAGCUGCUUUCUGAGUGGUGUAGUACCUAUUUUUGGAAAUUUAAAAUUAUAAGACAGUGCAUCUUUGCUUGUUCAAUUUGUUUUUCUUUUAGACAUUGGUAAAUUACUUAUCACUUUUGAAAAUGCAUGUUGUUUAUUUUUGUUUACUGUAAUAUCUGAAUUUUAAAAUAAAAAAAAUUAAAUUAAAA